UUGAGCGCAUCCUGAGUGUUCUGGUACCCAAGGCAUAUGGUGCAUAUUUAUAGGGCUCCAUCUGAGGGCUUCCAUAAAUUAAGCCGACACAGUUAUCCGUAAGAAAGUAAAAUAAGCACUUUGCUCUAAAAACCAAAAGAAGUUUUCCAAACCCUACCUCUGUGCAUCUAGCUAGCUACCACAAACACAGAAUCCUGAAAGAGAAAUUCUAGAAACAGCAAAAGUGCUAACCACUCAUCUUUAGCAAGCUGGCUUUUUUCAGAACGUAUACGAAGCACAUAGAGUGCACAGUUUAGAACCAGCAAUCUUCAUUCUCGCAGAUUCAUUUCACUGUGUCCACGGAAAUUUCUGGAUGUUCCCUUUGGACCAGUUUGAGAGACGAGGAUCACUUCCACUGCCUACGAAAGUGAUUGCCAUUGAAUCAGGCUUGCGUGGGCCCCUGGGGAGCGGCAAGGUCAUGGGACAGCUGGAGCUGCCCACUCAGUGGCUGACUGUGUAUUGGACUCACACUGCCUUGCUGCUGGUGCCAGGCCUUAGCAGGAUGCAACCGCGUGUGGAUGGACAACAGUAAAUGUGUGUGUGCAGUGGGGGCACAGAGCCCAAUUUGUGGCGGUGUAUUUACCCUUUUAGGAUAGUUGCACCCAGACUGGGGGUCUAACCAGCCUUCUCUUCUCUCCUGGUGGGUCUUCUCAUUGAAGUAGUUUGGGAUCUUUCUACAGAAACCACUUUUGUUUGUUUGAUUUUGACUUGUUUAUUCCUCUGACCCUACCUUCAUAGAGAACAAAUCACAACCGGGGCUGCUUCCUGCCUUUCUAAGACCCAGGCCCAUGCAGCUCUAGUGACGGCAGAAUUUUCGUUCUUGCUAAUUAACCAGUUUCCUUUAACGUAACUUCCUUUUAUCCUCUCUUAUCCCUCUGUCAUCACUCAUUUAUUAUGAUAAUCCCUUAACAGGGGUAUAAUACUCUAUAGUUUGUAACAGGCUUUCCCUUGCAAUUUCUCAUUUGCUUCUUAAUCAAAAUCUGUGAAUUAAUCGAGUUAAUGUUUUUUAUCAUAUCCAGCUUAGCAGUGGGAAACCAGUCAUCGGCCAUUCCUCACCUCCUCUGGCCUUCCAUUAAGAAUAUUAGUCUCGAGAGUGCCCAUCAUAGCGCAGUGGAAAGGAAUCCAACUAGUAUCCAUGAGAACACGGGUUCAAUCCCUGGCCUUGCUCAGUGUGUAGGGGAUCUGGCAUUGCUGUGAA
rnacentral:lncRNA from 1 species